AUAAGGCCGCUGUUUUCUUGUUUUUAUUGAUUUACAUUUUUCAUUUCGGGAUCUUUUAUAGUUGACUUUGUCGUAUGGGAUUGCUCAUCGUUGACCUACAUAUCAUAAUAUCUGUUUUAUGUGGUCUCUUGUGAAGAGUUGUAUCUUUGUCAAUCAAACCAAAGAUAUUUUGUCAGUGUUUGACAUGUUUUAUAUACUGUUUGAAAG
rnacentral:lncRNA from 1 species